UAGUCUCGAUGGCAAAGAACGCAAGGUGGU
rnacentral:piRNA from 1 species